ACUGUCCAAAAUCAGAACUAUAAUGGAGUUGCUGUCUCACACACACGCUCUGGACCCAUCUCACCACAUCACGUUCCGGGACACCAAUUGUCGCCUCCUGAUCCGGCGAGAAAACAAGGCUGCCUAGUGAAAGUAUGAUGCCUCCAUGCACAGGGAACAGAUGGGACUCACACACAGUAUGUAACGCCAAAAGUACAUGUUUAAUGCCUCAAAACAAACUAUAUAGUGGUACAGGUGAACGCCCCUGGUAGAUGCGUGUGACCUCACUGCUGGAGACGGUGCUCACACAAUGAACAAUGCUGGUGAAGCUGCUGGAGGUGGGGCUUCCCCUGAUGAAUGAUGCUGGAGAAGCUGCUGGAGACAGUGCUGUUGGAGAUGGUGCUCCCCCGAUGAACGAUGCUGGAGAAGCUGUUGGAGAUGGUGCUCCCCCGAUGAACGAUGCUGGAGAAGCUGCUGGAGAUGGUGCUCCCCCGACGGAUGAUGCUGGAGAAGCUGUUGGAGAUGGUGCUCCCCUGAUGAAUGAUGCUGGUGAAGCUGCUGGCGAUGGUGCUCCCCCGAUGAACGAUGCGGAGAAGUUGUUGGAGAUGGUGCUACCCUGAUGAACGAUGCUGGAGAAGGUGCUGGAGAUGCUACUGCUUCGAUGUACGAUGUUGGAGAUGCAGUUGGAGACAGUGCUCCCCCGAUGAACAAUGCUGAAGAAGGGCAGUAGGCGAUGGUGCCCCCCGAUGAAACGAUGCUGGAGAAGCGGCUUCAGAUGUCCUCCCCCGAUUUACGAUGUUGGAGAUGCAGUUGGGACGGUGCUCCCGACGGAUGAUGGUGGAGAAAGCUGAUGGAGAUUGGUGUACCCAGAUGAACGAUGCUUGAGAAGCUACUGUAGAUGCUGCUUUAUCGAUGGAUGAUGGUGGAGAAGAUUUUGGAGAUGGUGCUCCCCUGAUGAACGAUUCUGUAGAUGGUGUUGGAGAUGCUACUCACCCGAUGUACGAUGCUGGAGAUGCAGUUGGAGAUGGUGCUCCCCGGACGGAUGAUGCUGGAGAAGGCCGCUAGCAAAUGGUGGCUCGCCCCCCGAUGAACUGAAUGCUGAGAAAGAAGUUGUUAUGGAG
rnacentral:lncRNA from 1 species